AUUGAACGCUGGCGGCAGGCCUAACACAUGCAAGUCGAGCGAGCGGCGGACGGGUGAGUAAUGUAUGGGGAUCUGCCUGAUGGCGGGGGAUAAAUACUGGAAACGGUAGCUAAUACCGCAUACCAUCAGAUGAACCCAUAUGGGAUUAGCUAGUUGGUGAGGUAAUGGCUCACCAAGGCGACGAUCCCUAGCUGGUCUGAGAGGAUGAUCAGCCACACUGGUACUGAGACACGGCCCAGACUCCUACGGGAGUCAGCAGUGGGGAAUAUUGCACAAUGGGCGCAAGCCUGAUGCAGCCAUGCCGCGUGUAUGAAGAAGGCCUUAGGGUUGUAAAGUACUUUCAGCGUGGAGGCGUUACCCGCAGAAGAAGCACCGGCUAACUCCGUGCCAGCAGCCGCGGUAAUUC
rnacentral:rRNA from 1 species